GCAGUGCCAACCAGACUACAACCGGUCGACCGAAACUACCUGAAAUGAAAAUUCUCGUUUUUCUCUAGAAUUUAAAUAUUUAUUUUCAUCAAUUAUUUUUUCAAAGGGCCACCCACGUUUUUGGCAAUAAAAACCCCACUAAAUUGAAGUAUUUAACUUCAAACUUAAAUGACACUCAUGUUUUCUCUCUUAAAUGAAAUUUGACCCUUCAUUUGCUUUAAGUUAUGGGAUGUUUACCUAUAAAUAGAGACCUCAUUUCACUCAUUUUUCUCACACCAAAAGCAAGAGAUUUUACAUACUAAAGAAAGAGUUUCCAAGAGAGAAAAAGAGAGGGAGGAAAACUAUUUUUCCUAGAAGUUUAAGAAGUAUUUUCAAGCAUCAUUCUCAACGGUUUUCAAACAUCCAAGGAGUGCAUUUCUUUCAACGUCCAAGUUUUAUCGAAGUUUUCAAUCCAAGUUUUCAAAGUUUCAAAAGCAUCAAUCAAAGUAGGUAGAGGUGCAAUGUGUUUAAUUGUGUUAAGUUAUAAGUUUCGAUUCAUGUUAAUGUUUGUAUGUCAAAUGGUACUCCGGCACGGCAUACCCUUCUAUGUUGAAGAAAUGUUCGUAUGUCAAAUGGUGCCCUGGGUACGGCAUACCCCUUCAUGUCAAAUGGUGCCUCCGGGUACGGCAUGUAUGAAAAGUUAUAAAGUUAAUGUUUUAAAAUGUAUAGCUUGAUCAUGAAUGCACCUAUAACACCUAUUGAGUUUUUCAACUCACGGGUUUAACCCCAUCUCUACAGAUUGAAGGAAUUCUACCUCAGGCAUGGAUGGAGGAGAAAUGGAGAGUGAUGCAACGAGCCCAUGGAAAUCUGGUGAAUAAGUGAUUUGGAUUUAUUUUUAUGAAAUAUUUUUCAAUGUUAUUUCUUUAAAGUUUUGAAUAACGCAGAAUGCGAGAGCAAGUUAUUUUUUCUUCAAAUAAAUUACAUUUUGUUGUUUUUAAAAAUGAUUCAGUGUUUUUGUUUAAACUAUUUGAAGUAAAGUUAUUUAAAUUAUUAUCCGAAGAUAUAAGUUUCCGCUAAAAUGUAUACACUUGUUACUAAACAACCGGUUAAGUUAAGUUAAGUAAAGUAAGUAACGUUCCGGUCUACU
rnacentral:lncRNA from 1 species